ACUCCUACGGGAGGCAGCAGUGGGGAAUAUUGCACAAUGGGCGCAAGCCUGAUGCAGCCAUGCCGCGUGUAUGAAGAAGGCCUUCGGGUUGUAAAGUACUUUCAGCAGUGAGGAAGGUGGGUAUGUUAAUAGCAUAUUCAUUUGACGUUAGCUGCAGAAGAAGCACCGGCUAACUCCGUGCCAGCAGCCGCGGUAAUACGGAGGGUGCGAGCGUUAAUCGGAAUUACUGGGCGUAAAGCGCAUGCAGGUGGUUUGUUAAGUCAGAUGUGAAAGCCCGGGGCUCAACCUCGGAAUUGCAUUUGAAACUGGCAAACUAGAGUACUGUAGAGGGGGGUAGAAUUUCAGGUGUAGCGGUGAAAUGCGUAGAGAUCUGAAGGAAUACCGGUGGCGAAGGCGGCCCCCUGGACAGAUACUGACACUCAGAUGCGAAAGCGUGGGGAGCAAACAGGAUUAGAUACCCUGGUAGGCUACU
rnacentral:rRNA from 1 species